UACGGAGGGAGCUAGCGUUGUUCGGAAUUACUGGGCGUAAAGCGUACGUAGGCGGUUAUUCAAGUCAGAGGUGAAAGCCCGGGGCUCAACCCCGGAACUCCUUUGAAACUAGAUAGCUAGAAUCUUGGAGAGGUCAGUGGAAUUCCGAGUGUAGAGGUGAAAUUCGAUAGAUAUUGGAAGAACACCAGUGGCGAAGGCGA
rnacentral:rRNA from 1 species